AGUGGCCAUGGCGGAUACAGCAACCACAGCCUCAGCGGCGUCCGCGGCGGCCAGUGCCCCGAACGCCUCCACAGAUGCGCCCCCUUUCCAGCUGGGCAAGCCCCGCUUCCAGCAGGUGAGGUUCGGGAUGCGACGAGCGGGUGGAAGGGAGACACAGGGAAGGGCACGGAGCCAAAUCUCUUGCAAAGUCACUUCAGCUCGAGGGUCUCCAACCCGCGGCCACCAGAGCCUACAGCUAGUGCGGGGACCUUGGCUGUAGCCGCUCCUUUCCUAUUGGGCAACAGGAUGGGCGAGGUCUCCCUCUCUGGUUUCCUAUUGGCGGGUGGCACAGUCAUUCCGCGGAUGCCCGCGCCCUGGCACAGCCCCCGUCCUAGUCGCUCGAUGAUUGGCCACGCGGGUCGCGGUCCAGGGUCCGAGCGGCUCUGAAGGGGUCGCUCUGGCAAAUGCGCCCUAGGCGCAAAGUUCCCGUCUUGUGAUGCAUGGGCCGGUGGUGUGGCCGGUAUGCUCCUCAACUUCUCCCCGAGUGGGACUGACCUUUCUUGUGAGCUGCGGGACAGUCUCCGGGCAAAACUCCCUGGGCACGCCCCAUGGUCAUGCUCCGGUUCCUCAACCUCCAGCAAGGUGCUGCGUGUGCCCUAGGAUGGGACCGCGUGCACCGGUACAGCGACCUGAUCUCUGUCCGGGGGCCUGGGGCUUCAGUGAUGAGACCAGCCGGACAGCUAGUGCGUUCUGCGGGGAUGCGGCUGGGACAACGCGGAGAGAGCCCGGUGCGGGGAAACGCUGUGUCAUUCUCCGAAGCUGAGCUCUCCUCCCAAGGGUCCCAAGUGCGCCCCAGUCCUACUUGCGCUGCUCCCGGCCGCUGCGCAGCGCUGGCCCCCAUCCACACCCGCUUGGGCUCUUCAGGGUGCACCGUGACUAUGAUUAACCUUACUUGGGGACACGCCAACCCAAGAAACCCGGGUAUCACUAACUCGGCCAUGGAACCGGAGGUCCAGGUCUGUGAGCCAGGAGCAUGGGAGCUUAGUUAUUACGCCGCAGACCCUCAGACUGCUUCCAGAGCUGAAGUGACCCUGGGCUUGCCAGGAGUGGGGACAGCAGAUGUGCUAGAGAAAACUUUGAAGGAAGAAAGAAAAUGCUACAAAGGUGGGAUGUGGCUGGGUUUAGAAGUGAGAAUGGUUCCGAAUUCAGCCCCCCCCCCAACUUCGUCGAACUAAGCUUUCUGAGAAUACGUCCCUAGAGUUUUUUAAAAUAGGACUUGUUUUCUUUCAAAAAUAGACAUGUCUCUGCAUGGAGGAAUCUGGAGAGACUUAAUGUCCCAGCUAGUGUAAAAUGCCACCAAAUAUUGAGACGCUGUCAGGGGUGUUUGUGCCUAACCUUGAGUGAUCCUCCAUUUGUCCCCACCCCCAUUCUACGCAUCCUUAAGUAAGCCUGCACUCCCGACUGGGAAACACUUGCUGUCUUUGGAACCCCCACCCCAGUUGUCCUAUCAAGAACGCCAAACUCCGCUCUGAACCCCCCAGUGGGAGCCUCGCAGAUGCAGAUUACUCUUCCAAAGUAUUCCCUAGGUCCUUUUCCGGAUAAAAAGUGGUUGUUGAUCUUACCCCAGGCAAUUGGGUUUUUAAUAACACGAACUGAGUAAGGGCUUUUCCCCCAAUGUCUGGUGUCUGGUAUCUGGAAUCUGGAUGGCUCAUGGGUCAUCCAUCUACCCAACAUUUACUGAGUACCUUGUAUUGGCUUCCUGCCCUGGGCUCUUCACUCUUGUGGAGUGUGUUUGGGGAGGAUUAGUUUCUGCAGCUGUUCACAUCUGUGGAGUAUGCAGUGGCCUCUGCAGAGGCCUCCAAUGUUGGCAUCCUAGUGGUCUGAUAAGAAAGGGUGCUGAGCAGGUCUGAGUCACCGGUGCUGAGAACGUCUGUUUCUUCCACACCUGCUCCUCCCUCUGCAAACAGCUCAGCCUGCCACCCAAGAACUAGAGUCUUAAGCCUCCAUUCAUCUCUGCUACUCCCAGUCCUCCCCUUCUCCCCCACAGCUCUCCUAGCCUCCCUCUCCAAGGCUAACCCAGUCCACACGUUUAUUUUUUUGGCCGACAUGGGAACCUCCGACAGGUUCCUGGGUUUCCAGUCCUGCUCUGGCCGUCUCCCAGCUCCUCCUUUUCCUCUAUGGCAGAGUCCCAACAGUGCAGGUCUGAUCAGGUGAUUCCCAUCCAUGCAGCAGUCUUUAACAGCCUGCACUGCUUUCCUCUAUUUGUGAGAUUUAGACCUCACAUCUGAAGGGACCCAAAGUUUUUCAGGGCCCACUCCUUAACAUUUGACUCCCCACUCACCCCCUUCUUUACACCAUUCUAGCAGUUUUUAACCCUCGGGCUUAUCCUGUUCUUUCCCAUGCCUGGGCUACCCACUGGAACAUGUCUUGUCUCUUGCUCUCAAUUCUUUUUGAGCACCUCUUCAUCCCUACGUUAUCCACAAAUCAUCAUUUCCUCGAAGGAGCCUCACACCCUUGGCUUAUUUGUUACCAUGUUUCUUCCAUUCCAUCAUAUGGGAUCAGGGACUGUGCCUACCUUCUCUCGGUGUUGUUAGGUUAGGUUAUCACAUUAACAGAUUGUCUGGAUGGAUGAGGUGUGUCUCAGAGCUUUGUGAAUGAGUGGGGCUGGGGUCUCCUAUGGGGUUUGUGAAAUUGAAUGAAAUUGAGCUACAAGCCUUUGAUUUCAGCAGUUGGCCAAAUUGUAUCUAAAUUGUUCCUUAGGAAUUUUGGAAGAUGGCAACAAAAUUGUUCUAGUCUUUAAGAAAAAAUUCUAAAGUCAGUAGUUUGCCACAUUCUUCUGAGUGGACAGGUUCCUUCCCCGGGCUGGUCUCAAAAUUCUCCAUGUAUGACCUUGCAUAUCUGACCCUCUGCCUCUACCUCCAGACAUGAGCAGCCCCGGUGUUUAUGUGGUACUGGAGGUAGAAUCCAGUUUUGCACAUGCUAAACAAGUCUUCUGUCAACGAAGCUACAUUCUUUGCCUGGGCACAGUUAUCUUCCUCUGGAUCCUGGGUCCUGUUCUCAGUGUUUGGCACACAGUAGGUGUCUAAUGACUGCUGAUAGUGGACCUCACUGACCUAGAAGAUUCUGUUGACAGUGUGUCAUAAACCAUGGUCCACUUUUAGAGCUCCAUCCCAAUCCUCAGGGUCUCCUUGGGCCUCAAACUUCCUAUGUAGUCACAAAUGACCCUGAACUUGUAGCUCUCUUGCCUCCACCUCUGAAGCACAGGGGUGACAGGUGUUCCAACAGCACACCUAGUUUUAUGGGUGCUGGGGACCAAACCCAAGGCUUUGUGCAUGCUAGGCAAACACUCUACUAAUUGAGCUACAGCCCUAGUCCUAGUGCUUUUUGUAGGAUUGGGAACUGAGGUCUUACUUGGCUCUGGAAGUCCUUUCUCACCUCCCUGAUCAAAGGUCUCUCUGUAAAGGAGGGCAGGGGAGAGGCAGCAACCAAGCAAGGUCAGAGGGUAGGAAAAGGGUGAUGGAUUGGUUUUGUCUAUGGCUGCCUUUCUCUCCAUAAGAUGUUGAUGAUGGCCAACAGUCCCCUACCCCUUUUUGAAUAUUGGCUUAUGAAAAUUUUACGGCCCUUUGCGACAGGUACAAUGACCUUUAGUUUUCAUGUAAUAACGUUGCCAUUCACAGAUUCAGUGACUUCCCAGGCAGCCAAGUUCCAGAGUCCAGGCUUAUUUAUUUACUGGCAACUUUUUUUUUUUUUUUUUAAGACAGGUUUUCUCUCCGUAACCCUGGCUGUCCUGGAACUCACUUUGUAGACCAGGUUAGCCUUGAAUGUAGAGAUCUGCCUGCCUCUGCCUCCUGAGUGCUGGGAUUAAAGGUGGUGUCACCACCUGGCUGCUGAGUUAAUGUUUUAUAGACUUUCAAAGCAAACCAGGAGGUCCAAUGAGGCAGGUCAGUGCUGCACAUGGCCCUGUGGGUAGGACAGAGGUACUAAAGACCCAAGAGAGAUCUCUUUAUGUCAGUGUUCCUUAUUCUGGAGGUUUUCAACCCCCAAAUUACAGCCUUUCAUUUUCUAACCCUUGGCUGCUCAUCUUUCAACUGCAGCUUUGCCGGGUUAAGACCAACCUUAUUUUACCUGUGUUCUUCCCUAUUCUUAGCCAACGAAUUGCUUUGAAGCAAAUCUGAACAUCCUGACAUUUCACUUACUAGCUAGUGAGUGGGUAUAUCUAAAAAUAAGGGUUUGUGUAUGGUGUGCAUGCGUGAGUGAGUGCGUGUGUGCGUAUGUGUUGCAUCUGUGUACUCCUGUGUGUAGAGGCCAGAGGACAACUUCAGCUGUUGUUCCUCAGGUACCAUACCCAGCCUGGUUUGUUUUACAAACUUAAAAAAAAAAAAAAAAAGGGUGAGGGUAUGAAAUCCUGUAAGAAUUUACAUAAGUUAAAAUCUAGAAUUCCUGCACAACUUUCACACAGGGUCCUUUAAUAUCUCACAGGGCCAAUGGACAUUUGCC
rnacentral:lncRNA from 1 species